UACGGGGGGGGGCAAGCGUUGUUCGGAAUUACUGGGCGUAAAGGGCGCGUAGGUGGCCAACUAAGUCAGACGUGAAAUCCCUCGGCUUAACCGGGGAACUGCGUCUGAUACUGGAUGGCUUGAGUUCGGGAGAGGGAUGCGGAAUUCCAGGUGUAGCGGUGAAAUGCGUAGAUAUCUGGAGGAACACCGGUGGCGAAGGCGGCAUCCUGGACCGACACUGACGCUGAGGAGCGAAAGCCAGGGGAGCAAACGGG
rnacentral:rRNA from 1 species